rnacentral:rRNA from 1 species
UGCAGUCGUACGAGAGUUUUUAACUCUAGUGGCGGACGGGUGAGUAACACGUAAGAAUUUGCCUUUAGGAGGGGGACAACAACUGGAAACGGUUGCUAAUACCCCAUAUGCUUUCGAGUGAAAUGGAUUUCCACCUAAAGAGAAGCUUGCGGCUGAUUAGCUUGUUGGUAGGGUAAUGGCCUACCAAGGCGACGAUCAGUAUCUGGUUUGAGAGGACGAUCAGACACACUGGAACUGAGACACGGUCCAGACUCCUACGGGAGGCAGCAGUAGGGAAUUUUCCGCAAUGGGCGAAAGCCUGACGGAGCAAUACCGCGUGAGGGAUGACUGCCUAUGGGUUGUAAACCUCUUUUUUCAGGGAGGAAUAAAUGACGUGUACCUGAAGAAUAAGCAUCGGCUAACUCCGUGCCAGCAGCCGCGGUAAGACGGAGGAUGCAAGUGUUAUCCGGAAUCACUGGGCGUAAAGCGUCUGUAGGUGGCUCGACAAGUCAACUGUUAAAUCUUGAAGCUCAACUUCAAAAUCGCAGUCGAAACUAUCGGACUAGAGUAUAGUAGAGGUAAAGGGAAUUUCCAGUGGAGCGGUGAAAUGCGUAGAGAUUGGAAAGAACACCGAUGGCGAAGGCACUUUACUGGGCUAUUACUGACACUCAGAGACGAAAGCUAGGGUAGCAAAUGGGAUUAGAUACCCCAGUAGUCCUAGCCGUAAACAAUGGAUACUAGGUGUUGAACAGAUCGACCUGUGCAGUACCAAAGCUAACGCGUUAAGUAUCCCGCCUGGGAAGUAUGCACGCAAGUGUGAAACUCAAAGGAAUUGACGGGGGCCCGCACAAGCGGUGGAGCAUGUGGUUUAAUUCGAUGCAACGCGAAGAACCUUACCAGGGUUUGACAUGAUACGAAUUUUUUUGAAAGAAAAAAGUGCCUUUUGGAACGUAUACACAGGUGGUGCAUGGCUGUCGUCAGCUCGUGUCGUGAGAUG